ensembl:lncRNA
ACAUCCACCACUAGUGCACCAGAAACAUCUACAACAACAGAGACUUCCACAAUCACGACACCUGAUGAAACAUCCACCACUAGUGCACCAGAAACAUCUACAACAACAGAGACUUCCACAAUCACGACACCUGAUGAAACAUCCAGCACUAGUGCACCAGAAACAUCUACAACAACAGAGACUUCCACAAUCACGACACCUGAUGAAACAUCCACCACUAGUUUAGCAGAAACAUCUACAACAACAGAGACUUCCACAAUCACCACUCCUGAUGAAACAUCCACCACUAGUGCAAUAGAAACAUCUACAACAUCAGAGACUUCCACAAUCAUGACUCCUGAUGAAACAUCCACCACUAGUGCACCAGAAACAUCUACAAUAUCAGAGACUUCCACAAUCAUGAUUCCUGAUGAAACAUCCACCACUAGUGCAGCAGAAACAUCUACAACAACAGAGACUUCCACAAUCACGACACCUGAUGAAACAUCCACUACUAGUGCACCAGAAACAUCUACAACAACAGAGACUUCCACAAUGACGACUCCUGAUGAAACAUCCACCACUAGUUUAGCAGAAACAUCUACAACAACAGAGACUUCCACAAUCAUGACUCCUGAUGAAACAUCCACCACUAGUUUAGCAGAAACAUCUACAAAAACACAGACUUCAACAAUCAUGACCCCAGAUAAAAUAUCCACCGCUAGUUUAGCAGAACCAUCUAUAACAACAGAGACUUCCACAAUCACAACUCCUGAUGAAACAACCACCACUAGUGCACCAGAAACAUCUACAAGAACAGAGACUUCCACAAUCAUGACUCCAGAUAAAACAUCCACCACUAGUGUAAUAGAAAUAUCUACAACAUCAGAGACUUCCACAAUCAUGACUCCUGAUGAAACAUCCACCACUAGUUUAGCAGAAACAUCUACAAAAACACAGACUUUCACAAUCACGACACCUGAUGAAACAUCCACCACUAGUUUAGCAGAAACAUCUACAACAACAGAGACUUCCACAAUCACAGCUCCUGCUGAAGCAUUUACAACAACAGAGACUUCCACAACCAUGACUCCUGAUGAAAUAUACACCACUAGUGUAGCAGAAACAUCUAAAUCAACAGAGACUUCCACAAUCAUGACUACUGAUGAAGCAUCCACCACUAUUGCAAUAGAAAUUUCUACAACAUCAGAGACUUCCAAAAUCAUGACUCCUGCGGAAACAUCUACAACAACAGAGACUUCUACAAUCAGAACUCCUGAUGAAACAUCCACCACUAGUUUAGUAGAAACAUUUACAACAAUAGAGACUUCCACAAUCACAACUCCUGAUGAAACAUCCACCACUAGUUUAGUAGAAACAUUUACAACAAUAGAGACUUCCACAAUCACAACUCCUGAUGAAACAUCCACCACUAGUGCAGCAGAACCAUCAACAACAACAGAGACUUCAACAAUCAUGACUCCUGCUGAAACAUCCACCACUAUUGCAGCAGAAACAUUAACAACAACAGAGACUUCCACAAUCAUGACUCCAGAUAAAACGUCCACCACUAAUUUAGUAGAAACAUUGACAACAAUAGAGACUUCCACAAUCACAACUCCUGAUGAAACAUAUACCACUAGUUUAGCAGAAACUAGUACAACAACAGAGACUUCAACAAUCAUGACUCCUGCUGAAGCAUCCACCACUAUUUUAUCAGAAACAUCUACAUCAACAGAGACUUACACAAUCACAACUCCUGCUGAAACAUCCACCACUAUUGCAAUAGAAAUUUCUACAACAUCAGAGACUUCCAAAAUCAUGACUCCUGCGGAAACAUCUACAACAACAGAGACUUCUACAAUCAGAACUCCUGAUGAUACAUCCACCACUAGUUUAGUAGAAACAUUUACAACAAUAGAGACUUCCACAAUCACAACUCCUGAUGAAACAUCCACCACUAGUUUAGUAGAAACAUUUACAACAAUAGAGACUUCCACAAUCACAACUCCUGAUGAAACAUCCACCACUAGUGCAGCAGAACCAUCAACAACAACAGAGACUUCCACAAUCAUGACUCCAGAUAAAACAUCCACCACUAGUGCAAUAGAAAGAUCUACAACAACAGAGACUUCCACAAUGACGACUCCUGAUGAAACAUCCACCACUAGUUUAGCAGAAACAUCUACAACAACAGAGACUUCCACAAUCACUACUCCUGAUGAAACAUCCACCACUAGUGCAAUAGAAACAUCUACAACAUUAGAGACGUCCACAAUCAUGACUCCUGAUGAAACAUCCACCACUAGUGCACCAGAAACUUCUAUAACAACAGAGAUUUCCACAAUCAUGAUUCCUGAUGAAACAUCCACCACUAGUGCACCAGAAACAUCUACAACAUCAGAGACUUCCACAAUCACAACUCCUGAUGAAACAUCAACCACUAGUGCACCAGAAACAUCUAUAACAACAGAGAUUUCCACAAUCAUGACUACUGAUGAAGCAUCCACCACUAGUGCAAUAGAAACAUCUUCAACAUCAGAGACUUCCACAAUCAUGACUCCUGAUGAAACAUCAACCACUAGUGCACCAGAAACAUCUACACCAACAGAGAGAUCCACAAUCACAACAGCUCCUGCUGAAACAUCCACCACUAGUGUAGCAGAAAUAUCUUCACUAACAGAGACUUUUAAAAUCACAACAACUGCGGCUGAAACCUCCACCACUAAUGCAGGCGAAAGAUAUUCAACAACAGAAACUUCCACAAUGACAACAACUCCUGCUGAAACACCCACAAUUAGUGCAACAGAAACAUCUACAACAACAGACACUUCCACUAUAACGAUUCCUACUGAAACAUCCACCACUAGUGCAGAAAAAACACCUGCAACAACAGAGACUUCCACAAUAAUGACUCCUGCUGAAACAUCCACCAUUAGUUUAGUAGAAAUAUCUUCAACAACAGAGACUUCCACAAUCACAACAAUUCCUGCUGAAACAUCCACUAUCAGUGUACCAGAAACAUCUACUACAAAAGAGACUUCCACAAUCACAACAACUACAGCUAAAAUAUCCAUCAUAAGUGAAGCAGAAACAUCUAUACCAACAGAGAGAUCAACAAUCACAACAACUCCUUCUGAAACAUCCACCACUAAUGUAGUAGGAUCAUUUUCAACAACAGUGACUUCCACAGUCAUGACAAGUCCAGCUGAAACAUCCACUAUCAGUGUAGCAGAAACAUCUUCAACAAAGGAGACUUUCACUUUCACGACUCCUGCUGAAACAUCCACCACUAGUGUAGCAGAAAUAUCUUCACCAACAGAGACUUUUAAAAUCACAACAACUGCGGCUGAAACAUCCACCACUAAUGCAGCCGAAAGAUAUUCAACAACAGAAACUUCCACAAUGACAACAACUCCUGCUGAAACACCCACAAUUAGUGCAACAGAAACAUCUACAACAACAGACACUUCCACUAUAACGACUCCUACUGAAAAAUCCACCACUAGUUUAGUAGAAAUAUCUUCAACAACAGAGACUUCCACACUCACAACAACUUCUCCUGAAACAUCCACCACCAGUACUGCAGAAACAUAUACAACGAGGGAGACUUCCACAAAAAUAACAACUCCUGCUGAAACACCCACCAUUAGUGCAACAGAAACAUCUACAACAACAGACACUUCCACUGUAAUGACUCCUACUGAAACAUCCUCAACUAGUGCAGAAAAAACAUCUACAAUAACAGAGUCUUCCACAAUCACAACUCCUGCUGAAACAUCCACUAUUAGUUUAGCAGAAACAUCUACAACAACAGAGACUUCCACAAUCACAACUGCUUCUGAAACAUCCACUACUAGUGUAGCAGAAACAUCUGCAACAAUGGAGCCUGUAUAUGAAGUGAAUAUAAAGCUGGAGUUCCGCUCUAAAGAUUCAUUCAUAGAAGACCUCAAUGAUAGACAGUCUCCUGCUUUCAAAAACAGGGCUACGCUCGUUCAGGAUAUUCUUACACUUCUUUUCAAGAAGUUUGAUUCCUUCCUUAGGGUCACUGUACUACUAUUCAGAAAGGGAUCGGUCAUUACCACAUCAGAACUCGCUUUCAACUCUACACAGAAUGUCCCAUCAGAACUCCAAAUUGCAGAAAAAUUACUGAGUGACAAUAAAACUUUCUAUGCCCUGAACAUAGCUUCUUUCUCAGUUAAUAAUACAGAAUAUCUAUCAACAACCACAACUCCUGCGGCAACAUCUACAACAAAAACAGAGCCGUCCACAAUCAUAACAACUGCAACUGAAACAUCCACUACUAGUGCAGCAGAAAUAUUUACAACAGAGAUUUCCACAGUCAUAACAACUCCAGCUGAAACAUCCACUACUAGUGCAGCAGAAAUAUCUACAGAAACAGAGACUUCCUCAAUUACAACAACUCCACCUGAAACAUCCACCACUAGUGCUACAGCAACAUCUUCAACAACAGAGACUUCCACAAUCACAACAAUUCCUGCUGAAAUAUCCACAAUCAGUGUAGCAGAAACAUCUACAACAAUGGAGACUUCCACAACAACGACUCCUGCUGAAACAUCCACUACUGGUGCAGCAGAAAAAUCUACUACACAGAUAUCCACCAUCACAACAAUUCCUGCCGAAACAUCCACCACUAGUGAUGUAGAAACGUCUUCAAUAAUGGAGACUCCCACAUUCACGACUACUGCUGAAACAUCCACCACUAGUGCACCAGAAACAUCUACUACAAAAGAGACUUCCACAAUCACAACAAAUCCAGCUGAAAUAUCCACUAUCAGUGAAACACCCACAAUUAGUGCAACACAAACACCUACAACAACAGACACUUCCACUAUAACGACUCCUACUGAAACAUCCACCACUAGUGCAGAAAAAACAUCUAUAACAACAGAGACUUCCACAAUCAAAAUAAUUUCUGCUGAAACAUCCACCAUCAGUGUAGCAGAAACAUCUACAACAAUGGAGACUUUCACAAUCAUGACUCCUGCUGAAAAAUCCACUAUUAGUGUAGCAGAAAUAUCUUCAACAACAGAGACUUCCACACUCACAACAACUUCUGCUGAAACAUCCACUUUAAGUGUAGCAGAAACAUAUACAACAACAGAGACUUUCACAAUUACAACUCCUACUGAAACAUCCACCACUAGUGAAGCAGAAACAUCAACUACCAAAGAAACUUCCACAGUCACGAAUCCUGCUGAAACAUCCGCUACUAGUGCAGCAGAAACUUCUACAACAACAGGGACUUCCACAAUUCCAACAAUUCCUGUUGAAACAUACACCACUAGUGCAGCAGAAAUAUCUUUAACAACAGAGACUUCAACAUUCACAACACCUGCGGCUGAAACAUCCACUAUUAGUGUAGCAGAAACAUCUAUAACAACAGAGACUACUACAAUCACAUCUUCUCCUGCUGAAACAUCCACCACUAGUGUAGCAGAAAUAUUUUCAACAACAGAGAUUCCCACAAUUAUAACAACUCCAGCUAAAACAUCCACUAUCAGUGUAGCAGAAACAUCUACAACAAUGGAAACUACCACAUCCACGACUCCUCCUGAAACAUCCACCACUAGUGCAGCAGAAACAUCUUCAACAACAGAAACUUCCACAAUCACAACAACUUCUGCUGAAACAUCCACCACUAAUGCAGCAGAAAUAUCUUUAACAACAGAGACUUACACAAUCACAACAAUUCCUGCUGAAACCUUUACUAUCAGUGUAACAGAAACAUCUACAACAACAGAGAGUUCCACAAUCACAACAAUUCCAGCUGAAACAUCCACUACUAGUGCAGCAGAAACAUCUAGAACAACAGAGACUUCCAUAAUCACUACUCCUGCUGAAAUAUCUACUAUCAGUGAAGCAGAAACAUCUACAACAAAAGAGACUUCAACUAUCAAAUCAACUACACCUGAAAUAUCCACCCCUAGUGAAGCAGAAAUAUCUACUACAAAAGAGACAUCCACAAUCAUGACUCCUGCUGAAACAUCCUCCGUUAGUGUAGCAGAAAUAUCUUCAACAACAGAGACUUCCACAAUCCCAACAUUACCUGCUGAAACACCCACAACUAGUGCAGCAGAAACAUCUUCUACAACAGAGAAUUCCACAAUAAAGACUCCUGCUGAAACAUUCACCACUAAUGCAGCAGAAACAUCUACAACAACAGAGACUUCCAGAAUCCCAACAAUUCCUGUUGAAACAUCCACCAGUAAUGCAGCAGAAACAUCUACUACAACAGAGACUUCCACAACAACGACUCCUGCUGAAACAUCCACUACUAGUAUAGCAGAAAAAUCUCCUACACAGAUAUCCACCAUCACAUCAAUUCCUGAUGAAACAUCCACCACUAGUGAUGCAGAAACAUCUUCAACAACAGAGACUUCCACAAUCACAAAAAUUCCUGCUGAAACCUUUACUAUCAGUGUAACAGAAACAUCUACAACAACAGAGAGUUCCACAAUCACAACAAUUCCAGCUGAAACAUCCUCUACUAGUGCAGCAGAAACAUCUACAAGAACAGGGACUUCCACAAUGAUGACUGCUGAAGAAACAUCCAGCACUAGUGCAACAGAAACAUCUACAACAACAGAGAUCUCCACAAUCACGACUCCUGCUGUAACAUCCACUACUAGUGCAGCAGAAACAAUUACAACAACAGAGACUUCCACAAUAAUGACAAAUGCUGAAACAUCCACCACUAGUGCAGCAGAAACAUCUACAACAACAGAGACUUCCACAAUCACUACUUCUGCUGAAAUAUCUACUAUCAGUGAAACAGAAACAUCUACAACAAAAGAGUUUUCAACAAUAACGAUUCCUGCUGAAACACCCACCACUAGUGUAGCAGAAAUAUUUUCAACAACAGAGACUUCAACAUUCACAACACCUCCGGCUGAAACAUCCACUAUUAGUGUAGCAGAAACAUCUACAACAAUGGAGACUUCCACAAUCACGACUCCUGCUGAAACAUCCACCUCUAAUGCAGCAGAAACAUUUACAACAACAGAGACUUCCACAAUCACUGCUCCUGCUGAAACAUCCACGACUAGUGGACAGAAACAUCUACAUCAACAGAGACUUACACAAUCACAGCUCCUGCUGAAACAUUUAAAACAACAGAGACUUCCACAACCAUGACUCCUACUGAAACAUCCACCACUAGUGAGGCAGAAACAUCUACAACAAUAGAGACUUCCACAAUCAUGACUCCUGAUGAAAUAUACACCACUAGUGUAGCAGAAACAUCUAAAUCAACAGAGACUUCCACAAUCAUGACUACUGAUGAAGCAUCCACCACUAGUGCACCAGAAACAUCUACAAUGUCAGAGACUUCCACAAUCACGACACCUCAUGAAACAUCCACUACUAGUUUAGCAGAACCAUCUAUAACAACAGAGACUUCCAAAAUCACAACUCCUCAUGAAACAACCACCACUAGUGCACCAGAAACAUCUACAACAACAGAGACUUCCACAAUCAUGACUCCUGCUGAAACAUCAAUUACUAGUACACCAGAAACAUCUACAAAAAAACAGACUUUCACAAUCACAACACCUGAUGAAAUAUCCACCACUAGUUUAGCAGAAACAUCUACAACAACAGAGACUUCCACAACCAUGACUCCUGCUGAAACAUCCACCACUAGUGUAGCAGAAACAUCUAAAACAACAGAGACUUCCACAAUCACUACGCCUGCUGAAACAUCAACCACUACUGAAGCAGAAACAUCUACUUC